rnacentral:rRNA from 1 species
UACGUAGGGUGCAAGCGUUAAUCGGAAUUACUGGGCGUAAAGCGUGCGCAGGCGGUUGUGCAAGACAGGUGUGAAAUCCCCGGGCUCAACCUGGGAAUUGCAUUUGUGACUGCACGGCUAGAGUGUGUCAGAGGGGGGUAGAAUUCCACGUGUAGCAGUGAAAUGCGUAGAGAUGUGGAGGAAUACCGAUGGCGAAGGCAGCCCCCUGGGAUAACACUGACGCUCAUGCACGAAAGCGUGGGGAGCAAACAGG